rnacentral:rRNA from 1 species
AGCAGCCGCGGUAAUUCCAGCUCCAAUAGCGUAUAUUAAAGUUGUUGCAGUUAAAAAGCUCGUAGUUGAAUUUCGGGAUCAAUGUUUCGGUCAUGCCUUUGGUAUGUACUGAUAUUAUUGGUUUCUCACCUUCUAAAGAACCGUAAUGCCAUUAAUUUGGUGUCACGGGGAAUUAGGACUGUUACCUUGAAAAAAUUAGAGUGUUUAAAGCAGGCUCACGCUUGAAUACAUUAGCAUGGAAUAAUGAAAUAGGACAUCCGAUUCUAUUUUGUUGGUUUCUAGGAUCGAUGUAAUGAUUAAUAGGGAUAGUUGGGGGCAUUAGUAUUCAAUUGUCAGAGGUGAAAUUCUUGGAUUUAUUGAAGACUAACUACUGCGAAAGCAUUUGCCAAGGAUGUUUUCAUUAAUCAAGAACGAAAGUUAGGGGAUCGAAGACGAUCAGAUACCGUCGUAGUCUUAACCAUAGACUAUGCCGACUAGGGAUCGGAUGAUGUUAAUUUUUCAAUGACUCA